AGAUUAUCGAUACAAAGGGAAUAUCAUAUUUUAAUGAUCGAUGCUGAUGUGAAAUGCAGUAAGACGAUUGCUUUAGUGAGGUGCGGGUGUGUGUGCUGACGUUCGGGUCUUUUAGCGUGUUAAUUUAUGAUAUUUCAAUGAUGGGUGGCGAUUUAGGUUGAUUUAAAGUUUCAAUUCAUCUUCAAAAUUUAUAUUCGGAGAAAAGAAAUUGUUAACUGGAGUCACAUAUUUAUCUGUAUAGAUUGCUGUAUUCUCAUUACUAUGUACUUCAUCGAAAAGUGACCCGUUUCUCAUCAGCGAAUUUGCCCAAAUCUUGUUUACCAUCCUUCAGUUUCAUUUUAAACGACAUUAACUGAAUCUGUAUCAGCAGCGAUUUCUAUGACGCGAUAUUUGUUGUUGUUGAGCAUAAUUAUGUGCGGUGAUCUGAUCGGCACAUUAAUGCAAGUACUAUAGUAUCGUGAAAUUUCUGUCUAGUGUUUAGUGAAUAGACAUUCAAUGUGGUGACUUUGUGGACCAAGUCAACUGAAUACCAGGAGACAGGAAAGACAGGUGCUCCAAACUCAUAUUCCCACACCUGGUAAUACCAACUUCAACGUUGCUUGAAUUCGUGAAAGGAGUGAUGAUGACGCCAUUACCCGUGAUCAUAUCCGCAUGCGUAUCAAUAACGUAACCUGUUAUAACCUAACUUAACCUUCUACCCAAUUCAGACUUUAAAUGUGUUCUCUGAUUGUGGUACAUUAAUAUUAAAAAAAUACUGCAAAGACUUUAAUGAAACUUUGUAUGGACGUUAUGUCAUAAGUUUGCUCGAACCUCAUAAUUCGUAACGUCCCACAUCUAGUAGAACCAACGUAACAGGUGCUUGUGCUAUAUGUCUGUAUCACGCAGCUAUAAUAGUAAUUCCCAACCAUGUCAGAUCAGAAGAUUGAUAAAGUGGCUACGAAUUCUCUGGUGUGUGGUAAAACUGCUACUCAAAACAAUAAAAUUAUAUAAAUGCCACUAAAAAAAUCAAUGUAAUUUUUUUGUGCUUUGAAAUCUGUGGGAGCAGUGACUGGAAUACACUGUAUAAAUGAGAUCCAUACAGUUCAUCCUGCUACAUGUCAACCACUAUUUCAACUUUUAGUUAUCAUCAAAUAAAUGUUUAUAACAUAAAAUAUUUUUCUCAUAUAGUUGCACAACAUUUUGUAUGAUUUUUUGUUGUUGUAAACAGUAAAUGAGAGUUUCGAACCAUGGUCUUGAAGUGAAGUGUAAACUAUGAAACUAGCCAAAACGAUGUAUGAUAUAUACCAUAGUACAUACUCAGACUGGAGCUAAGAAAAUUAUCUUUGGUUAAAGUGUUGGGUAAUAAUAUCUGGGUUAAGGAUCACAAAGUAGGUCAGAAAGUGUGGGUAAAAGAGAUGUGAAGUUUAUUUCUCAGCAUUUAUUAUGCUAAGAGGAUUCUCAGUAGCAGUGAAAAAUAAAAUUGUUAAUUUAUUCCUGAUCUAACAAGUAUAAUUUUUAAAACUGCUAGUUGUUGGUUUUAUAUGUAAAUAGAAAUUAUACUCACUGUUCCCAAGCUUGAAAAUACUUUCAAAGGUUUGCUAAUCCCCUUUUU